rnacentral:rRNA from 1 species
UACGGAGGGUGCAAGCGUUGUCCGGAUUCACUGGGUUUAAAGGGUGCGUAGGAGGGCAGGUAAGUCAGUGGUGAAAUCUCCAAGCUUAACUUGGAAACUGCCGUUGAUACUAUCUGUCUUGAAUACCGUGGAGGUGAGCGGAAUAUGUCAUGUAGCGGUGAAAUGCUUAGAUAUGACAUAGAACACCAAUUGCGAAGGCAGCUCGCUACACGAAUAUUGACUCUGAGGCACGAAAGCGUGGGGAUCAAACAGG